UUUCNNUGGGCGCAAGCCUGAUGGAGCGACGCCGCGUGGGGGAUGAAUGGCUUCGGCCCGUAAACCCCUGUCAUUUGCGAACAAAUUGGUUCAAUUAACACCUGAGCCAUUGAUAGUAGCGAAAGAGGAAGGGACGGCUAACUCUGUGCCAGCAGCCGCGGUAAUACAGAGGUCCCAAGCGUUGUUCGGAUUCACUGGGCGUAAAGGGUGCGUAGGUGGUGAGGUAAGUCGGAUGUGAAAGCUCGGAGCUCAACUCCGAAAUGGCAUUGGAAACUACCUUGCUCGAGGGUUGGAGGGGGGACUGGAAUGCUUGGUGUAGCAGUGAAAUGCGUAGAUAUCAAGCGGAACACCAGUGGCGAAGGCGAGUCCCUGGACAACUCCUGACACUGAGGCACGAAAGCUAGGGGAGCAAACAGGAUUAGAUACCCUGGUAGUCCUAGCCGUAAACGGUGCACGUUUGCUGUAAAAGGAAUCGACCCCUUUUGUGGCGUAGCCAACGCGUUAAACGUGCCGCCUGGGAAGUACGGUCGCAAGAUUAAAACUCAAAAAAAUUGACGGA
rnacentral:rRNA from 1 species